CGAUGAACUCCGACACGGUGAUCUGGUCCGGCAUGAUCCUGCCCCACCGGUAAAGCCCAGGAGAAGCCGGGCACACAGAUCCGGAGAGAGGGGAAGCCCAGUUCCGCGGGGAAAGCUUAGGUUUGGGGUCCCAUAUGUUCCUUUCUAAAGAAGGCUAAGUCUCAGGAGGCUCAAGUAAUUGUGGUCAUCUGCUGCAUCAAUGUGAUUUAUUUAGCCAUACUGUGUGAUUUCCUCCUCCUUGUAUUUGGGAUUCUUUCCACAGAAGCUGGGACAUUCAGGAAUGGUAAACAUUCUCAAAUCUGAACAACUGAGAAUGAACAAUAUUAUACGGCUGUAUCCAUUUCAAAAGAUUUUAUGUUCUCUGUAUAAGCACCUACCACAUUAUAAUCCAGUUAGGCUUGUACAUUUUUUUGUAUGUAAUUCUAAUAAAAUGUCUAUGCAAUUCAAAAAUAGUUGACGGUAUCAGCUAAAAACUGCAAUGAUUGCAUACGGAUAAAAAGGAGAUACCUGAUUUGAGUAUACCCAUAAAAAACUAUUUCUAUGCAGUUCUGCCAGCAAAAAUAUGACCAAUACUCCUGAGCAAUGGUCCUGCCUGAACAUGUUUCUGUGAUUUCACUGCCUUAGCAGAAGCCCUCCAUAUGGCCAUGUGAUUGCUGCUGCUGCUGCUUCACGUGAUCCAGCGUUCUGGCACAAAGGCUCUGAGCUCGUACAGAUGAUUGUUAAACGUCAUGAGACUGUGAAAGGUAGAGUAGGCAAGAGGAGGAGGAAGCCAAGAAAAGAAUUGUGUGGGAGUUGCACUGAAAAAUGGAUCUGGGCAAAAAAAAUGAAGCACUGAAGAAGCAACGGGAGAGGCAGGAAGAAAAUUGAUGAUGGUGUUCAUAAAAGCAGUGGAGGAGGAAGAGAGACCAAGAAGAUAAAAAUGGUUGGUGGCAUGAAAACAGUAUGGAAAGAAGAGUAAAGAACUGGCUGGGGGGUUGGGCCAGGGAAGAGCUGUUCGUAACAUUCAAAAGAGAUGUUUUGUCCUAGCCUGCUCGGAAGCUGGAUGGGUGAGGGCCAUGGCCCAAGGGCCAAGCAGGGUCUCUGUGGUCAUCCCCUGUAAUUUCCUGCCAAACAUCAAUCAUGGGCUAUCACACAGCUGUUCCUGGGCCAGACUGGUGGUCUGCACGUCAGCCACAGUGUUCACAUUAGGAAGAUUCCUGAUCCCUCGCUGUCAGACUUCAAGUGACGAUAAAUGCAUCACACUGAUGGACAAACUGGUUUAAUUAAUUGGGAACUCUCACUGUUAGGGCUGAAUUGUUCUUCUUCAGGCUGAAGUUAUUGAGCUUGACCAUUAAUCUCUGGAUUGUAAAAUAACCUCAUCUGCUAUCUCAAACAAAUCCCCCCAGAAGCUGAACAUGCUGUUAAAGACCUAAUUUCUUUUAUACUAUUUUGUGAAAAUUUAAACUACAGAAUUGAAAAGAAUGUUCAAAUAAUAAAGGGAAUGGACAGGCCAGGGAAACGGUAGCAGAAGAGUGACAGAAGUGAAGGCAGAGCAGACAGUAAGUGCAGCUGAGCUUUUGUUUCCUCAUCAGGAAAAAAGUUGCCUUCUAAAAUGAUAUAUUAAAUGUAUAAGAAAUAGAAUAAAUACAGAAGAAUACUGGUAAGUAAAGACAAUGGCACAAGGCCUAAAAAUGAAAAAGGACGAUCGUAAUUGCCUCUUGGUCUGUUUUUGACAGUUCUGAAACUGUUUGCUCUGUCAGAGAGAAUACAGUGCUCUGUUUUGCAGCUUAGAAGCAGCAUUUCCCCUUCCCCUAUUCAAAUGUUAGUAGAGAAAAUAGCCCUAUAGGCAUGGCCUCUUUAGACUUGGAUUAUUUUCAUUUAAACUCACUGGAAGUACGAUCAGUUAACUAAUGUGAUGUUAAUAAAAAUAAAUUAUACAAGCUGCCUGUAAAAACUGUGCUAAUGUUUAAACUAGUCAAAUUAUGUAAGUAUUUCAAAUAGCAUUUAGUGAAUUUCAGAUUUAACCAUGUUUCCUGUUUUGAAUUGCAAUCAGUAUCUGAGAUUCAAUUCUAAAUUUGUCAGAUGCAUUUCUCUAUAAAUUGUCACUAACUGAAAUCACUGUUUCACUUCACAAAUGUCAAAGAAUAAUCAUCAGAGUGUGAAAGUUACAUUUCACAGCGUAUGCUGUAACGCUGUCUUAGUCUGUGCUAGAUCCUGGGUGAGGCUGUGCCACGGCCUUUUUCUCAUGGAAAGUUUGCCAAUGAAGUUCUGCUUUUCUCACUCCCCUUGGUAUUCUGAAAUGAAAUCUCCUUGUCCACCCUGGACAAGCUAAUGCCAGUGAGGAUCAUGCAAGCAGCACUGGAAAUCACUUGCUCCUUACUGCUGAUGCAUUGCAGUCAAGGAAGUUGUGGUGUCUUGUCAUCCCACUCAAUCCACCCAAUCCACUUGAUUCCCUGGCUUUUACUGUGAUUGCAAACAGAAGAGUUAAUUACAGCAAAUUGACAAUAAUUCUGCAGUACUGCUGAUAGUCACCAUGCUUAGGCAGAGGCUAAGGACCAGUGACAAACUACAGACACAGGUGUUGUGCAAUAAACUGAAUAGCAAUUAUAGUAUUUUUCAUUUUACAGUAUUUUAGAAAGCUUGUAUUUAGAUUGAGGUCAUCAGUUCACUCACAGGAGCUGAGCAGGAGUGAACAGGUGAUGAUGUAGCCAUCACUGUGAACUUUGCAGCAUGACCAGUAUGUACCAGAGGUGAAGAGUACAUGGCACUUGCAUAGCUCUUCACAUCAUCAAUGCAAUUAACUACUGGAGCCACACAGCACUGAGGUAGAGAACAGCAAGAUUAUCUUUCCACUACAGAUAAGGAGCCAGAUAGAUGAGCUUGUGGCCCUGCUGUGCUUGUGGCUGUCUAGCUUCAGUCAUGCAAAGUCAGCUCUUCAGGGUAUCAACACCUCAUCUGGGCUGAAGCUGGUGGUGAAUCUCCUGUGGGAUGUGAUUAUACUGCCUGCAGAGAGCAGCCCCAGGACUGCCCUGAGGUCAUGCUUUCCUGCUGCAUAGGAAGCAAACUCACAGAUGCAAACUCAGGUGUGGUUGCUGCUUGGUUUUUGGAAACAAGCUUGACCCAACUCCCUGGCUGUGCACCAGUGUGUUGUCAAGCAUGCUCAGACAAGCUGCCUCCAGGGCAAUUUGCAACCUCUCAGUGUGGCAGUGAAGUGAGUUGUUACCUGGAGAAGGAAAUCACUGCACACAUCGGUUCUGUGCAGUGACUCCUUUUGAUUAGUACAGGUGUAGUCAUGGCAGGAUCUCACAUGUCAAAUUCAGGGGGUUUUGAUUCUCAAGUAUGAACAGUGAUGAUGCCUUUUUGCAAAUACAGGUUUACAACUACACUCAUUUCUUGACUUGCAUGAUUCCCAUCUUGGCUAUUACUGCAGAUGAAAGUAGUGAUUUUAUAAUAUAAUAGACAGUAGUAUUUAUAAAAUACUAAAAUAAAAUAUUAAAUAAUUGAAAUGCACAUGCUUUUCUUAGUAAACAAUAUAGUUGUUCUUUUUAUGCUCCUUAGCCUCUCCACAAAUGUGGAGAGUGUCACGAGCUUAGCAGCAAAUAGCAAUAGAAGUAGUGGUGUGCUAAAAUUCAUCAGGAAAAUAUCCCUAGGCUAUGUUUUUCUACUACACUACUAUCCUGGAUACGUUUGUGGUUUGGUGUUAGAUUCAUCCAUUUCAGCUAAACACAACAGUCAGCAGUACUUCCCAUCCUCCUCCUCCUGAUCCUAGCUCACUUUAUGAGAUCAUUGUAUAACAUCAGAUAUCCAUGGAUUUGAUACCUGAUAAAGCUGAUUUGAAGUUCCCUGAGAAAAUAUCUAUAUGGUAAAUUGCUGUUCCUACAUUUUUAUAGUUUUACUUUCAGACAAUUCUGACAAAAUUAAUGAGAAAGGCUUAUUUAAAUUUAUGGUCAUAAGUACUAGAAUAUCUACAAAUAUUUCUGAAUAUCAGCUCUUCUCAUUUGAGUUGGAUGCUGGGCUUAGAAGACAAAAGAAGCUUCAAAUCAACAAGAAUCUCAGCAGGAUGCGUUAUGCUUUUGGUUUUGGAAUAUCUCAUGUGCUAUAACUCGGUAAACUUUUUUUGUUAAUGGAACUCUCAUGGUUUUGUUUUGCUAAGCAAAACCACCCCAUUUAUGUAAGGACAAGUAACAUCAUCACUUUGUACUUCAGCGGGAAAUGUUUAGUCAGGAGGCGUUUCACCUCCAGGAGCUGUGUCCUCUCAGAGGACAGUCAGACGGCUGACAGCCUUCUACAAAAUGUAACAACUAUGUAUUUUAACCUGCAGUGUGUUUACACGUUUAAUAUCACAUAAGUGCAUGAUGUACUUACAGGAAAAGGCAAAAUCUAUUUUAAACACUGAAGCCUACAUCACACAUUGUGACUGGUGCUAAUUUGCUCUAAGGGAACUUAGAUGGUGAACUGCAGUGGUUCUGCUUGAGAAAGAAGGCUGUUAGCUUUGACAUUUGCAAACAAACCUUUGAAAUGAUUGUGUUACUGGGACAGAAUAGUCAGGUUAACUUUCAAGUAAAAGAAACCUUCUUGCCUAUGUUGCACUGCUGAACAUGAAGAAGACCAAAAUCCAGGUCCAGCAAACAUGCUUACUGCAAUUCUGUGUUUUUUAAGAGACAAUAUCUGCCAGUGUGGCUUAUGAAGUACAUGAACUGUGUCAAAAAUUUGUGCUGCUGCUGUGACUGUUUUGAAUACAAGAAUCAGCUGACUUCAAUUUUAAUAUUGGCAUCUCCCAGCAUUUGUCUUCAUCUGGUAUUUAAAAUGAGAUACGAAAUGUCUCAGAAACUACAUGUUAUUUUAAAAACCUUUUAGCACUUACAAUAGUGGCUUAAACAGAAGGUUCUUUUUGCAUUCUUUCAAUAUUAAAAUGAUUUGCAAAAAGAGA